rnacentral:tRNA from 6 species
GGGUCGUUAGCUCAGUUGAUAGAGCAGUUGACUUUUAAUCAAUUGGUCGCAGGUUCGAAUCCUGCACGACCCACCA